AAACCAGAAAAACUUGAUUAUGAUGUGACUUGCAUCUGAUCCAUUCUGAACCAAAGGGAUCUUACAGAAGCAUCUUCAGGGGGCUGUUGGAUACCAGAAUCUCACUUCUGGUUCAAGAAGUCUCUGAUUCAUGGACUGCUGCAGGAGAGGAUUCUGAGGAAGUAUCACAACAUGCUUACCCUGAUCCAGCCCAUCGUUCAGUGCUGGAGGAUAGUGGGAUGGAUCUGUGGUCUCACCUGGUACAGUUCUGUACACAUAAUGUGGCUGCUUUAAAACUGUCUUUAAGACCUCUUGUGAGAGCAGGCUGAUUGUUCCUAUCAAGAAAACACACGCAAUUAGGUUUAUUUUUGGUUGGACCUUGUAUAAAGACAUUACCUUCAAGAAGAAACAUUGAAAUUUUAGGUUUUUCUUGAAACCAGCAUAUAAGGAUAUGUUGUAUGUUGUGACUACGCUGCCUCCUACACAGAUGAGAUAAAAAGGAGUUGGACCAAACCCCCAACAGAAGUCUUUGAUAUUUGUCUUUGGAUGUUGUGGAUGUGAAGAUGCUUCAGAAUGGAGUUCAUAAUCCUGGACCUCUUUUCAUGGGAGUUUGAAUACAUGAAGGCCUUCUUGGUGCGCAUCAAAUCCUGACCUGGGAUGGAAAGCAAUCUUUGUGAACGUUUGUACAGAGGGCUGUGUGAUAGAUCCAGCAAAGGCUGAAGACUGGCAACAGUGGCUGAUGUAGUACCAUGGAGAAAAGAAAUCUGAACACUGCUCUCCAAGGAGACUGAGUGAGAAGUGAGUUUAUUGUAAGAGAGCUCCGCGUUCAUUUGCCUGUUACGCAGCAUUUUGUGGGAUGAGAAAGAAACAAGCCAAAAGAAAUCAGCAGAAGAAACAGUUAUCAUGUUGGGCUCCUUUGUCCCCAGGAAAAGGCAACCCAGUAUCUUGCGUGAGAGCAACCUGACUGGUCCUUCUUGGACACUGGUUUUCAUAAGGUACUGAUGAAUGCUGUUCCCUGCAACUGGGGGAUUUCAAC